GACGAACGCUGGCGGCGUGCUUAACACAUGCAAGUCGAACGGAAAGGCCCUGCUUUUGUGGGGUGCUCGAGUGGCGAACGGGUGAGUAACACGUGAGUAACCUGCCCUUGACUUUGGGAUAACUUCAGGAAACUGGGGCUAAUACCGGAUAGGAUCUCCUGCUGCAUGGUGGGGGUUGGAAAGUUUCGGCGGUUGGGGAUGGUCUCGCGGCUUAUCAGCUUGUUGGUGGGGUAGUGGCUUACCAAGGGUUUGACGGGUAGCCGGCCUGAGAGGGUGACCGGCCACAUUGGGACUGAGAUACGGACCAGACUCCUACGGGAGGCAGCAGUGGGGAAUAUUGCACAAUGGGCGGAAGCCUGAUGCAGCAAAGCCGCGUGCGGGAUGACGGCCUUCGGGUUGUAAACCGAUUUAGACUGUGACGAAGCGUGAGUGACGGUAAUGGGUAAAGAAGCACCGGCUAACUACGUG
rnacentral:rRNA from 1 species